rnacentral:rRNA from 1 species
GAUGAACGCUGGCGGCAGGCUUAACGCAUGCAAGUCGAACGGGUGUAGCAAUACAUCAGUGGCAGACGGGUGAGUAACACGUGGGAACCUUCCUAGGGGUACGGAACAACUCAGGGAAACUUGAGCUAAUACCGUAUACGUCCGUGAGGAGAAAGAUUUAUCGCCCUUAGACGGGCCCGCGUCGGAUUAGGUAGUUGGUGGGGUAACGGCCUACCAAGCCGACGAUCCGUAGCUGAUCUGAGAGGAUGAUCAGCCACACUGGGACUGAGACUCGGCCCAGACUCCUACGGGAGGCAGCAGUGGGGAAUCUUGGACAAUGGGCGCAAGCCUGAUCCAGCCAUGCCGCGUGAGUGAAGAAGGCCUUAGGGUUGUAAAGCUCUUUUACCAGGGACGAUAAUGACGGUACCUGGAGAAUAAGCCCCGGCAAACUUCGUGCCAGCCGCCGCAGUAAGAC